rnacentral:rRNA from 1 species
UACGGGGGGGGCAAGCGUUGUUCGGAAUUACUGGGCGUAAAGGGCUCGCAGGCGGCCAACUAAGUCAGACGUGAAAUCCCUAGGCUUAACCUGGGAACUGCGUCUGAUACUGGAUGGCUUGAGUUCGGGAGAGGGAUGCGGAAUUCCAGGUGUAGCGGUGAAAUGCGUAGAUAUCUGGAGGAACACCGGUGGCGAAGGCGGCAUCCUGGACCGACAUUGACGCUGAGGAGCGAAUGCCAGGGGAGCAAACGGG